CCUACGGGAGGCAGCAGUGAGGAAUCUUGGUCAAUGGACGAGAGUCUGAACCAGCCAAGUAGUGUGAAGGAUGACUGCCCUAUGGGUUGUAAACUUCUUUUAUAUGGGAAUAAAAUGUUCCACGUGUGGGAUUUUGUAUGUACCAUAUGAAUAAGGAUCGGCUAACUCCGUGCCAGCAGCCGCGGUAAUACGGAGGAUCCGAGCGUUAUCCGGAUUUAUUGGGUUUAAAGGGAGCGUAGGUGGAUUGUUAAGUCAGUUGUGAAAGUUUGCGGCUCAACCGUAAAAUUGCAGUUGAAACUGGCAGUCUUGAGUACAGUAGAGGUGGGCGGAAUUCGUGGUGUAGCGGUGAAAUGCUUAGAUAUCACGAAGAACUCCGAUUGCGAAGGCAGUUCACUGGACUGCAACUGACACUGAGGCUCGAAAGUGUGGGUAUCAAACAGGAUUAGAUACCCGGGUAGUC
rnacentral:rRNA from 1 species